GCGGUUGUAGCUCAUUGGUAGAGCACUUGCCUAUCAUGCCUGAGGCACUGGGUUCAAUCCUCAGCACCACA
rnacentral:tRNA from 1 species